UGGCUUUGGCAGCACAUAUACUGAAACUGGAACAAUACAGAGAAGAUAAGCAUGGCCCCUGUGUGUAUCUAACAGCCUCAUCCCAAAGCAGUUCCUGUGUCUG